GACGCUGCACCACGCCUUAGAGCAAGUUUAAUAAUACAGCCCCUUCUCCCAGCCCACCCAUACAAUAGUUAGCUAUUCACUAUUAAUACAUGGCCCACUUGUCUCUCUCACAAAGUUUCUUGGUUCCUGUGCUCAGGCUGGCUGUAAGCUUACAGCCCGCUUCUCCUCUCUCUCCUCUCUUCUCUCCUCAAACUCAGCAUCUAGCCAGCUUACAGCCCACUAUAAUACUUGCUCUUACAGCCGGAAUGGGACGACGCCUAGUCACGCGCGCGGUGAGAGGCAGCUAUAUAAAAAGGUGACUUUCCUAUAUUCAGUCUACAUAGGAUCUCUUCUCUAGUUGGAACCACUUCCACCAGCCGAUGACGAAGAUGAUCUACCAAAAGCCGAUAAUUUUGAUCCUACGGAGGUGUUCAUCAUGGAAGAUUUUCUAGCCGAGGAUAAUCGUAGAAGAAUUUGUGAGGAAGAUUGGAGAUGGAUUAAAAACCGACAUCCAAGGAAUGAUCUUAUUGAGCACAUAUGACAACGCUAUGAAAUUAAAUAAAAUUAGACAUAAAUGUUUCAACCAUAUUUGAUUUAUUGGGGUAGAAGAUCAUAUGUUAUAUUUGAUUUAUGAAAUAUAUUAUAUUACACUAUAUAUAAUGUAUGAUUUAUUUUGAUGAUUUGUUUUGUAUCAAUCAGCAACACAAUGAUAUAUAGAAAUAUUAUUCAUGAUUGAUCAUGGCUACAUACAAACAUUAAACGAUUUGUAGACAGUUAAACAGACAUCAGCUGUCUGUGGGUUGUACAAGUUGUCUGUUUAGCCGUCUGUAUUGUAAAUUCCAAAAAUUUACAGACAGCAGCUGUCUGUCUGUUGUACAUGCCCUAACUAGUCCGCGAGGCAGGGUAGUGCCACUAAAAUCCGGGCCUUGUUCCAAACUCUAAAAUAGGCCCUACUGGCCUAAAGAAAUAGAACGAUAAUAACAUGUAGAUAGCUUAGCGAUAAAUCAAGGACCAUACAUAUUCAACUCUUGGUUCCAUAAUAUAAUCUUUAUUUUAACAUUAUCAUUCUCUUAGUGUUCUUUGAAAUAAAAUCUUUAAUGAUAUACUUAUAAUUAAUGUUUUCCAGUAUUUUGCUCUCAAGUGCUAUUCUGAUCAAAUUUAUCAAGUCUUUCUUAUAUCAUUGGAGAACGCCAAUACAACAAUUCUAGUUCAUAUAUAUGAAUAUGAUUUAUUUAACAACCUGAAAUAAUUUACUUUGUUGGCUGGUACAACAGUCCUAGGCAGCGCUGAGCACUUUGCAUAGCUAGCAGCUCUCCACCAAUAUCUAGCAAACUAGUAAUUAUUAAUUAACACAAAGAAAAUUAAGUCCAAGAGCGCCGUAAUUUUUCAUCGGGCAGAUCGGCCAUCCUGUCGCCCCAGCCUACGCGAGUGCGACUGUGCGGUGCGGCGGCCAAACUUCGGAUCGAUGGGGGCGCAACGCAAAUGACUUAUUUAUCGGGCCCGGGAUGCAGGGGAAGCUCGGUUAGGGUUUCGAGGCAGCAGUAGGGUCAGCACGGAAGAACCAUGCCUCUAUAGAAUCCGUUGCGGCUACUACACCCAUUCUUUCUCUAUCUUCUUUUUGUCGUUGACAACUAAAAAUAUGCUAACUUUUUUUCUAUAUAGAACAUUCAUAGCAUUUUCUAUUUCUUUAAAUAAGAGGAUUAUAAUAAACACAUUACAAGAGGCAACAAGACAGCCAAGCUUGGGAGAGACAUGCUUUGGCUGCAGCUAACUCAGCAAAGACACAUUAGGCUCUAUUACAUAGUACGACACCAACCAUCAAAUAUGGGUAUUAAUGUUUUCUCUAUAGAGUCAUCUAUGAAAAACUGAAAGAAGUAAGCCAAUGACACC
rnacentral:lncRNA from 1 species